rnacentral:tRNA from 1 species
GGGGCCAUGGGGCAGCUUGGUCUAACCUAUCUGGUUUGGGACCAGAUGACCCCGGUUCAAAUCCGGGUGGCCCCA